rnacentral:rRNA from 1 species
AGUUUGAUCCUGGCUCAGGACGAACGCUGGCGGCGUGCUUAACACAUGCAAGUCGGACGGUAAGGCCCCUUUCGGGGGUACACGAGUGGCGAACGGGUGAGUAACACGUGAGGAACGUGCCCUUGACUUCGGUAUAGCUCCAGGAAACUGGUGGUAAUCCCGAAUAUGAGCCUGGCCUGCAUGGGUUGGGUUGGAAAGCUUUAUGCGGUCAGGGAUCGUCUCGCGGCCUAUCAGCUUGUUGGUGGGGUAAUGGCCUACCAAGGCAGCGACGGGUAGCCGGCCUGAGAGGGUGACCGGCCACAUUGGGACUGAGAUACGGCCCAGACUCCUACGGGAGGCAGCAGUGGGGAAUAUUGCACAAUGGGCGCAAGCCUGAUGCAGCAACGCCGCGUGCGGGAUGACGGCCUUCGGGUUGUAAACCGCUUUCAUCCAUGACGAAGCGCAAGUGACGGUAGUGGGAGAAGAAGCACCGGCUAACUACGUGCCAGCAGCCGCGGUAAU